rnacentral:tRNA from 1 species
UUUCCUGUGGGUCCAGUGGUUAGGACUCUGCACUUCCACUGCAGGGGACAUGGGUUCCAUCCCUGCUUGGGGAA